UACGAAGGGGGCUAGCGUUGCUCGGAAUCACUGGGCGUAAAGCGCACGUAGGCGGGUUCUUAAGUCAGGGGUGAAAUCCUGGAGCUCAACUCCAGAACUGCCUUUGAUACUGAAGAUCUUGAGUUCGGGAGAGGUGAGUGGAACUGCGAGUGUAGAGGUGAAAUUCGUAGAUAUUCGCAAGAACACCAGUGGCGAAGGCGGCUCACUGGCCCGAUACUGACGCUGAGGAGCGAAAGCGUGGGGAGCAA
rnacentral:rRNA from 1 species